rnacentral:misc_RNA from 1 species
GACUAGAACUUCCAUUGAUUUUCUGGAAUAAUGAAUUAACAAACAAUUUUGGCAUGUGUUGGAAUUUGAACUGUUGUACUUGGGUAGAAAUGGGUUUCACGUUAUUAUAAUUCUGUAGUUCCAAUUUUGUCCAAGGAAUUAUUUUGAACUGUCUGAGUUGGUAAUUUAGUACCAACUGCCCUUGGGAAAGGUUCUGAUGCCUAGAACAAAAAGAAGGAAAAAAAGAGAAAGGUAAGUAGAGAACAUGAACACCAUCAUUUGAUGAUGCAUGAUGCCACAAUAUCAUGUAGAAUUUUGAGUGUAUUUAAGCUAAAAGUCCAUCUUAAGAGUAUAUUAUAUGCAUACAAAACUGUUCUUAAUUAAGUAGACAGCAAAAUUUUGGUCUUUGCAUGUAUUUUUCUUUUUUUGAAUUAACUACGCAGGAUCCCCAUCCGCACAUAUGAAUGGGACUAAUCUACAUUUAGGUCGGGAGUGGUAUUCAGAUAAAAUUUUCUUAACAAGGACAACUUCAGGAUUCAAACCCUUGAUGGAUCCAUCAAAACAUAGAUGAAGAGGUUUAAGAGAGAAGGGAUCGUGGUUCACGGUUUCAUGUAUUGGUAAGGGGGAGGAAUCAUCUUUCUUCCUUGGCAGCCUGCACAGAAAGGGAUUUAUCAGAGAGAUUCCAUUGGCAUUAAAACCCAGAUUAUAAAUGGGAUUAUAUGAGAAAUCUAGUGCAUUAUUAGCUGAAAACUCUAAACACAAAUAGCCAAUGAUUGUUAGGAAAUGGAAGUUUGUUGCUCAAACCUUCAAAGCGCCUGACUUCAAGCUCUCUCCACUCUUGAACCAUAGCACAACAGCAACACAUAAGAUGAGUUAAGAAGUCAUCAAACAAACCUCCCUGCACACGGUGGUGAUUCUUUUAUGAUCAUAAAUUCAUAAUCAUUCAAGCAAAUUAACUCUCUCAAGUCUCAAUUUAUAUAUCCUUGUACAAGUUUUUAUGUCAGGACUUGAUACAAGAGAGUAGCAAAUGCUCUGCUUCCGCAUUUUCUAUCUAUUUGUUCAAAAUUUUAUGGUUAGGAACUGCUACAUUUAAAAGGAGGAUUUUCAUAUCUUCCACAAUAGAGGAUAAAAAUACCUCUAUAUUAAAAAUUUGCCUAAUUUUUCUCCUUAUGCAGCAGGUGUAACAGCAGCAUCCACAGAAGAUGGCAUACGCCAUUAGAUCAUUCACUGCACGCUCACGAGCUGUUUUACGCAAGAAAAGGUGUAAGAGGAAUUUAAACUGAGAGAAUUAUGCAGUAAAAUCUGUUAUUUGGGAAGAUAACUGGCACUUCCUGAUAACUUUGCUUUAUAUUUUUAUCAGAAAAGCUUACAUAUUUCCCCUUUCGACACAACAUUGGCUAUCCUUGAAAAUGUGCCGCAUGGAUAGAUGCAGGUCUUCAAGCCUAUAUCAGAAAACCAGAGAAAUUAAUAUAUAGAUUAUAAAAACUUAAUCGAUGGACCUAAAGGAAAAUUACAUAUAUCUGACUCUUUCUGGAGCCUGUAAUGCAGGAAGCUUGAACAUCCUUUUUAUACCCUGCAUGUUCUUGGAAAAUCCUGAUUAUAUUAAAUUUAGAUAAGAAAAGAUUACAGGAACUCACUCAAACAAGGCUCCUCACAACAAUCAAAAAGGUCAACCUGCCACUCAGAUUGUGUCUUAUCAUCAGGCUUCAGGUCUUCAUAGCUGGAUUUUGCAUUGGUUAUGAACCUGAAGUAGAAUUUCCCUGGUCACUCCAUAAGAGCAUUUUUCACAGAAGCCCUGAUGAAGAAAGCUUCACUGUAGCGUCUCAGAAGAACUUACCCGGAUACCAAGUAAGUUGGUUCAUUGACAAUAAGUUUAGUGACUUUCUUCUGAGGAAUUGCAUUGACAACAUUUUCUGUGACCUCAAUGAGAUGUUCAAUUACGCGACAUUGAUUCGGAUCAUUGAUUGUUCUUGAUUUUUGCAGCUCAAUAUGCAGCUUCUCUUUCUCUUCUUGGAGAGCCUCAUAGAAUUCCAGGUUAGGAUAUCGCCGAGACAGUGACUUCUCCAAUACGUUGGCAUCUUUGUUUGUCCUGUCAGGUUUCAGUAUCACAUUCUGAGCCUCUAAAUCCUCUUCUUCCAGAGUGUAUUCUCUGUGAUCCUCUUCAAUGGCGUGCAGGCCUUCCUUUAUAUUCUGCAUCCUGAACUCAUGAACAAGAGAAAUCAAAGGCACAAUCUUGAGAUACCGAUCGAUCUCAGCCUGAACUUGCCUGAAUUGAUAAACCACAUUCCACCCCAUAGCAAGCAUGUAAAGAUAACUCUUAUCUUUGCAGCUUUCCACCAAAUCAAGUGCUUUUCUUAAAGCCUCUUCCAUGGCCUCCAAAGGUUCUUUUGUAGCUGGCAGGUUCAUCAAGUCAGUCGAUUUUAACUUCUCUAACAAGUUACUUAUAAGCUUUACGUGCUCAGCGAGCUGCUCGCAGUUUCUCCUGUGUGUGGUGGCGUUUCUCGCUGCUGAUAUGAUCAUGUUCGCUAGGCCUAGAGCAUCUACUCCUGAUACUUGUGAAAUGCUUGCCAUAGUUGCUGUGAUAUCAACUCUAUAGACAGAAAAAGAGGGUAUGAACUAGAAC